GCGUUUGAACAUGUACUGCGCUUGUGAGUUUUACCUUCUGCCACCGAAUACAUUAGCAUGGGAUAAUGGAAUAGGACCCUGUCCUCCUAUUUUCCGCGUUGGUUUUUGAGGACCAGGGUAAUGAUAAAUAGGGAUAGUUGGGGGCAUUAAUAUUUAAUUGUCAGAGGUGAAAUUCUUGGAUUUAUGAAAGAUUAACUUCUGCGAAAGCAUCUGCCAAGGAUGUUUUCAUUAAUCAAGAACGAAAGUUAGGGGAUCGAAGACGAUCAGAUACCGUCGUAGUCUUAACCAUAAACGAUGCCGACCAGCGAUUAGGAGACGUUGAAUACAAAACACCCCCGUCAGGCAGUGGGGCCGUGCUUCGCUUUUCCGGCAACGGGAAAGUGGAGGCGGUCUCAUUCCCCUGAUGGCCCGGUGAAUGACUCCCCUAGCAGCUUGUGAGAA
rnacentral:rRNA from 1 species